rnacentral:rRNA from 1 species
UACAGAGGUCUCGAGCGUUAGGCGGAAUCACUGGGCUUAAAGCGUGUGUAGGUGGAUGCCUAAGUACCUUGUGAAAUCCCACGGCUUAACCGUGGAACUGCUUGGUAUACUGGGUGCCUUGAGUCACUCAGGGGCGAGCGGAACAAAUGGUGGAGCGGUGAAAUGCGUAGAUAUCAUUUGGAACGCCAAUGGUGAAAACAGCUCGCUGGGGGUGCACUGACACUGAGACACGAAAGCCAGGGGAGCGAACGGG